GACGAACGCUGGCGGCGUGCUUAACACAUGCAAGUCGAACGGAAAGGCCCUGCUUUUGUGGGGUGCUCGAGUGGCGAACGGGUGAGUAACACGUGAGUAACCUGCCCUUGACUUUGGGAUAACUUCAGGAAACUGGGUCUCAUACCGGAUAGGAGCUCCUGCUGCAUGGUGGGGGUUGGAUAGUUUCGGCGGUUGGGGAUGGACUCGCGGCUUAUCAGCUUGUUGGUGGGGUAGUGGCUUACCAAGGCUUUGACCGGUAGCCGGCCGGCGAGGGUGACCGGCCACAUUGGGACUGAGAUACGGCGCAGACUCCUACGGGAGGCAGCGGUGGGGAGUAUUGCACAAUAGGCGGAAGCCUGAUGCAGCAACGCCGCGUGCGGGAUGAGGUCCUUCGGGUAGUGAACCGCUUUCGCCUGUGACGAAGCGUGAGUGACGGUAAUGGGUAAAGAAGCACCGGCUAACUACGUG
rnacentral:rRNA from 1 species